rnacentral:rRNA from 1 species
UGGUUUAGUAAAUCUUUUGUGAAAUCGUUCGGCUCAACCGAGCGGCGUGCAGAAGAGACUGCUAGACUAGGGACCGGGAGGAGUCAGAGGUAUGCUGUGGGGAGCGGUAAAAUGCUAUAAUCCUCAGUAGACCACCUGUGGCGAAGGCGUCUGACUAGAACGGGUCCGACAGUGAGGGACGAAAGCCAGGGGAGCAAACCGGAUUAGAUACCCGAGCAGUCCUGGCCGUAAACGCUGCGAGCUAGGUGUUGCAUAUUCUCCGUGAAUAUGCAGUGUCGAAGCGAAGGGGAUAAGCUCGCCGCCUGGGAA